rnacentral:lncRNA from 1 species
CAGUAAAGAUUAAAUGUGCUUCUCAAAGGCAGCCACUUCAUGCUGCUAUGUCGAAAGGGCCAUUAUUAUUAUUAUAUUUUAAUGGUAAAAGAGAAAAGGAGAGAGGUUGAGCGAGCGAGAGAGAAGCUAGGUGUGAUGAUGACAGACUAGCUUUUCUGAGAGGAAAAGGAAAAGGGAAGGGAGAGAAAAAGGAGAGCCUCUGAGCUCAACGGAGGAUUGUGCCUGAGAAGAACCCACAGAGGCCUGGAAUAAAAGAAGAACAAGAAGAAGAAAGAAAUGAAAUGAAAAACAGAAAGAAAAAGGAGAAGAAACAUUUGUAAAAGGGUCAUCUUCCCAUCUGCCUCCCCUCCUUUUCCUUUCAUUUUUGGUGGCGGCACAGGAAAGCCCCACUUCCAGUCUGAUGAGGAAAGCGACAAUCUAUCAGGUACAGAACCAGGGGCUGUCUGCGAAGAUGGAGGGGAAUUAUGCUUCGGAUUCCUCUGAAAUAUUGGCCAAAGGCUUCAAAGAAUCCGCAGCGGGAGGUGCGGGGGGAAUGUCUCUCCCCAGCCCGCACCCAGCCCUUCCCACUUCGUGUCUACCAAAUGACAGCCUGGUGCUCGCUCUUGGUGAUUUGGCCUUGACUUCAGCCAAGCAGCUGAUGCAGACGAAGCCUCCGUUUGCAGGACUGGCAAAGUGCACGCUAAAGAAAGAAGGAAGAAAUUUUUCAAAAAGCAGCUCUGGGGAGGUUUCAUACUCCCCCCCCCCCCCCGCCUUUUUUUAAUUUUUAAGUGAAUAUUUUCCAAAUUUGAUCAGUUCCAGCCCCUCCCUCCACUCCCACCCAACUGCCCUUUUUUCUCUCGUCAAAGCAUAAGCUACAGAGUUACAGUCUCGAGAUUUGGUGUAUCGCUUCCUGCCCCCGCCUCCCCUCCCCGCCCCCGUUCUCCGUCCUCUAUUGAAACACCUCGCCCAGCCUAGCGCACUGAGAGCUCUCAUUUUCCCCCCUUGCUCGGGAUGGUGCCACAGGAGGCUGUGCGGGCCCCGCUCCGCUUCGAAUGGUUGUGUUGAUGUUCCUUUCAGCUGGUCCUAUAGUACCCCUCCUCAGGAAUGUCUCCCCAGUGCAAGGACAAAGACUGAAGAGACUGCUAUAUUGAUGGACUCUCAAGCCAACUAUGAAGUUGAAACAAAGAAAGUGAUCACCUGAAGACACCUCCUCUGCUAAGAAACACCCCCAAAUUGUGCAGCUUCUGCCACUAGAACUCUCAGAACAAGAGACAAUCUUUUCAAGAAACAGAAAAACUCAAUAAUGACAUCUAGAUUUUCAUGAGCCAAGAACUUUCCCUUCCUCAUGUGUAUUCCUCUGUUUGUACUUAAAUUCAUGUGACAUUCAUUUUUUUCCUAGUAUGGAUAUGCUUAUUAAUGCACUUGUUUCAAAAUCCCAAAUUGCACAAAUGUGUUAAUAUUUUAAGAAACAAAAUGAAUCCUACAAGGAGAAUGAUUUUUAGCCACACAUAGGGUUGGAUCUUGAGAGUGACCUACAGAAUAAAAGUACUUUUAAAAUAAAGUAGUCAGAGGCUAUUCAAAGGGUAAAAUAAUCAUAGUACCACAUUGGUCCACUUGACACUAACCAAUCGAUCAUUUUUUUUUAAUCAAGAAAGCUAGAUUCUAUCAGAUAAAAUCACUGCUUCUAAAGAGUUUAAAUCUAGUUAGAAAAAGUUAUAGAAAUGUUUGCAAAGAUAAGUAACAGAUAGAGUCAGUAGAGGAUAAGAUCAAAAACAAAACCAAGCAAAAGAUGAGUUCAGGGGAGUUUGCCAUCAAGUUGGCAAAACUGACUUACUUAGGGAAGAAAGUUAUAAAACAGGAAAAUAUGAGAUGAACCUUGAGUGAUGUGGAAGAUUUAGAUAAAUGGAAAGGAAGGAGAAAAUGGAGUUCUUUAGGUGGUUGUAAUUGGAGGAGGAAAUGAAUACACACAUCUUGUUGACUUAAACCCAGACAUUCAGCAGCUCUCUAUACAUAUCUGGAAAAGACUGCACAGUCACCUCCUGUCUCUCACCCCAGGUAUUACUUAGAAUUAUUAUCAUAUUUCCCUUCCUUUAAAGUAAGUAAGGGUGAUUGGUGACAAUAUGGAGAACUAUGAUUUUUCCAUUAACCUAAUAAUAAUUGGUAUUUAUUGAGUUCUGUUAAGCAUUUUACAUAUUAACUCACUUAAGCCUUUCAACAGCCUUGCAAAAUAGGUAUUAUUAUCCCCAUUUUACAGGCAAGAAAACUGAGGUUUAAGUAACUUGCCGAAGUGCCAUAUACAGGGCUCACAUUCAGUAUUGCAGUUGCAAAGCUCAUGAUCUAUAGUGCCAAGUUGCAAUAUUGUAGUCAAUGUCACAAUUAUUACCCCUUUUUAUAUUCCUUGAUAUUUUUCCAUGGCAAACAAUUAGCUAUUUCAUUUAAUAAUCACCUAAAACUUUUCAGUCUUCUGAUUAAAAUUACGCUGGAGUGAUAGAAUGUAUUUUCAUGAUAGAAAUUGGGAAAAAAAAUGGGGAAUGAAGUUUAUCAGCAUUUCAGACUUGUUUUUUUUUUUUUUUUUUGCAAGACUUUGAUGAGAUUGUUCACUUUUGUCUAUGUAAAAUCCCAAAUCCUUGAGAAUAAAAAAGGGGGAGGUUUAAGUCACUUGUUGCAAUGCCCUUUUUAAUAGAGGCAAUAAAUCUAAAGGCCAUAAAUUUAGAGUGACUUACAGAAGAUCGAACUUUGGAGUGUGGCAGAGUAAGGGAUGGAAACCGGGCCCUCCAGUUCACUAUCAGUAGCUUUUGCACUGGUCUGCCCUUCCUAAAUUAAGUAUGCACUUCAAUUUGAUGAGUGGAAACAGUCUAUCUGGGCAGUAACCAGGGAGCUUUGUGCCUAGUAGAUUGCUUCUGUUCUGCACUUCUUUGGUUUCCCACCUCAAUGUAAAAAAUAGCUAGCAAUGAAGUCCAGAAGUUGUCAAUGGUUCAUCCCCAGAAGAAUGCAUAAUGUCCAAAGUUGUAUGUGUAUGAUGUCUUCAAUGGUAUUAAGUUAUUUCAAAUUCUUAGUUCACCUACAUAAAUCAUUUCUAACAAGCAUCUUCUUAACCAACUUUAUGCACAGUGUAUGUUUGUAAGUGCUUCUGCACGAAUGUUUAUACAUGACUGUUUCCAUAGUACUUAUGUUUUUAAAAAUAUUCAGUCAUUUCCUACUAUAAUCCUCAUGUAUCCAUGUAACUGACUCAAAAAUACUUCAGCCACAGAAAGCUAAAACUGAGCAAAUCUCAUUCUUCUUUUCCAUCCCCUUUGCAUGUGGCUGGCAUUUAGUAAUGAUUAAUAAUAUGGCCAGCUGAAUAACAGAGGUUUGAGACACAAUUCUUUCUCAAAGGAGUCAGCUAAGCUGGGUCUACUUAUGGACAAACAUCUAAAUGUGUGGAAGUAUCUGAUAUUUGACAAUGGUAAAUUUCCACUUAGCUAGCUAGCAUUGUCAGACUUCAAUCUCCUCAUGGCUCUGGCCGUCCUGUUUUAAGCAUGAUAAUUGUUGGCCACAUCUCACAUAGUUCUCAUUGAGUGAGUUCAUAAAUAAACAGGGUUUUUUUUUUUUUUUAAAGAGCAGCCAAGCACAAAGUGUGACUUUGUUGACAUUUUAUGUGACUUUGUCAUAUGUUCCUAACCCCCAAUAAAAGCAAUGUUGCAUCAA